rnacentral:rRNA from 1 species
UACAGCAAAUACAUGCCAACAAAUGCUGACCUCCCAAGAUACAUGCAUUCAUCAGACCAAGAUCAAUCCGCCCUCAUGCAGCCGUUUUGGUAACUCUAGCUAACAUUGGUUAGAUCUCACAUCCCUGUGAUGGCUACGAUACACUCUGAUGUCUGGCCUACCAAAUUCUGAUGGUACUUCCUUUGCCUAUCAUGAUCAUCACAGGUAAGGGGAGUCAGGAGUCAAUUUUAAGAGAGAGAACCUGAGAAACAGUUACCACAUUUAUAGAAGCCAGCAGGCACACACAUUACCCACUCCCCAUUCGGGAAGUAGUGAAGGAAAUUCAUGAUACAGGAAUGUUUUGAGGCCCUAUAAUUGGAAGGUGUACACUUUAAAUCCUUUAACAGGGAUUCAUUGCAAAGCAAGUCUGUUGCCAGAAGCUGUGGUAAUCCUAGCUCCAAUAGCGUAAGUUAAAGUGUCUGUAUUUAAAAAGAUUGUUGGUGGAUCUUGUGAUCGAGCUGGCAGUCUGGCACGAGGUGCGCUAAUGCCUGUCCCACCUCUGUCUCUAGGCACCACUUGGUGCUCUUGACUUAGUGUCCUUGGGGUCCAAAGUGUUCACUAUUAAAGCAUUAGAUUGCUCAAAGCAGGCCAGUCACCUGCCUAGAAACUUCAGCUAGUAAUGAUGGAAUAUGACUCCAGUUGCAUUUUAUUUGUUUUUGGAACUGGGGUCAUGAUUAAGAGAGAUUUAUUGUGCCGCUAGAGCUGAUAUUCUUGGACCUUCAUACUUCCGACUAUAAAUGAUGCCAAGGAUCGAUCCAGCAGUGUUAUUCCAAUGACCUGCUGAGUAGCUACCAGGAAACCAAAGUCUUUAGGUACUAGGGGGAGCCUGGUUGCAAACUUGGAACUGAAAGGAAUAGCUGGAAGGGCACCACCAGGAGUGGAGCCUCUGGUUUAAUUUGACUCAACACAGGAAACCUCACCUGGCCCUGACACAGAAAGGAUUGACAGGUGAAUAGCUCUUUCACAAUUCUAUGGGGGCUGGUGCAUGGCCAUUCUUAGUUGGUGAAGCGGCUUGUCUGGUGAAUUCUGAUUACAAAUAAGACUCUGCCAUGCUUACUAGGUAAAACAAACCCCAGCAGUCAUCGUUCAACUUCCUAGUGGGCAAGUGGUGUUCAUCCACACGAGAUUGAGCAAUAACGGGUCUGUGAUGCCCUUAGAUGUGCAGGGCAAUGCACACUGCACUGAACGGACCAGCAUGUGUCUACCCUUCGUUGACAGGUGCAAGUAACACGCUGAACCCGUUCAUGAUAGGAAUUGGGAAUUGCAAUCCAGUAAAUGCAGAUCAUUGGCUCACUCUGAUUAACUCCUGCACUUUGUACACACCGCCCAUCGCUACUACCAAAUGGAUGUUUAAGUGAGGUCUUCGGAUCAGCUCCAAUGGGUUCAGCAACAGCCCUGGAAUCUUGGAAUGGACCAGCGCAAAGUCCGAUCCAUGAAUCAGCAAAUGUUUUUUGGCACGAUGCAA